rnacentral:rRNA from 1 species
CCUACGUGGUGCAGCAGUGAGGAAUAUUGGUCAAUGGGCGCGAGCCUGAACCAGCCAAGUCGCGUGAAGGAUGACUGCCCUACGGGUUGUAAACUUCUUUUAUAAGGGAAUAAAGUGAGGCACGUGUGCCUUUUUGUAUGUACUUUAUGAAUAAGGAUCGGAUAACUCCGUGCCAGCAGCCGCGGUAAUACGGAGGAUCCGAGCGUUAUCCGGAUUUAUUGGGGUUAAAGGGAGCGUAGAUGGGUUGUUAAGUCAGUUGUGAAAGUUUGCGGCUCAACCGUAAAAUUGCAAUUGAUACUGGCAGCCUUGAGUACAGUUGAGGGAGGCGGAAUUCGUGGUGUAGCGGUGAAAUGCUUAGAUAUCACGAAGAACUCCGAUUGCGAAGGCAGCUUACUAAACUGCCACUGACAUUGAGGCUCGAAAGUGUGGGUAUCAAACAGGAUUAGAUACCCUAGUAGUC